AGCAGCCGCGGUAAUUCCAGCUCCAAUAGCGUAUAUUAAAGUUGUUGCAGUUAAAAAGCUCGUAGUUGAAUUUCGGGAUCAGUUGGUCGGUCGUGCCUCGGCACGUACUGGUCAAAUUGAUUCCUACCUUCUGACGAACCACGAUGUCAUUAAUUUGGUGUCGCGGGAAAUCAGGACUGUUACUUUGAAAAAAUUAGAGUGUUUAAAGCAGGCUCGCGCUUGAAUACAUUAGCAUGGAAUAAUGAAAUAGGACGUUUGAUUCUAUUUUGUUGGUUUCUAGGAUCGACGUAAUGAUUAAUAGGGAUAGUUGGGGGCAUUAGUAUUCAAUUGUCAGAGGUGAAAUUCUUGGAUUUAUUGAAGACUAACUACUGCGAAAGCAUUUGCCAAGGAUGUUUUCAUUAAUCAAGAACGAAAGUUAGGGGAUCGAAGACGAUCAGAUACCGUCGUAGUCUUAACCAUAAACUAUGCCGACUA
rnacentral:misc_RNA from 1 species